rnacentral:tRNA from 1 species
GCAUUCGCAAGGGUUUUAGAUCGGUCUACGGAACCGAAGGUUACAGGUUCGACUCCUGUCGGGUGUA